rnacentral:piRNA from 1 species
UAUAACCUACAAAUAACUUAAAAGUAUAGAA